rnacentral:misc_RNA from 1 species
AUGGGACGGCCCGCUGGGCUGUUCCCGCCCCUAUGCCCUUUUUUGGGUUUCCGGCCAGAGGCAUGCUGGGAGCGUCACAUGCAAAUUGAGCGUGCACCCAGCGUUCCGCCCUUUCUACGCUGGGCCGGUUAUCGACCCGGCCCAGUGCGCAGGCGCGGGAAAGUUGAACUAAUAAAGUUUGUACGAGUUCAGUGGAGGAGACCGCAAGUUGAGUGGAGGAGGCGGCGGUGGGGCCCCGGACCAGGUGCCUCCAUGGCAGGCUCUGAAGAGCUGGGGCUCCGGGAAGACACGCUGAGGGUCCUAGCUGCCUUCCUUAGGCGUGGUGAGGCUGCCGGGUCUCCUGUUCCAACUCCACCUAGAAGCCCUGCCCAAGAAGAGCCAACAGACUUCCUGAGCCGCCUUCGAAGAUGUCUUCCCUGCUCCCUGGGGCGAGGAGCAGCCCCCUCUGAGUCCCCUCGGCCUUGCUCUCUGCCCAUCCGCCCCUGCUAUGGUUUAGAGCCUGGUAAGAGAUUUCCAUGAUCAUCUAUGAAGCCGGCAGAACACGGGAUAAGGCCCAGCUACUCCAGACUUCUAUGCUUUGGUGGCCCAGCGGCUGGAACAGCUGGUCCAAGAGCAGCUGAAAUCUCCGCCCAGCCCAGAAUUACAGGGUCCCCCAUCGACAGAGAAGGAAGCCAUACUGCGGAGGCUGGUGGCCCUGCUGGAGGAGGAGGCAGAAGUCAUUAACCAGAAGGUGAUGGGCAUCUGUCCCACUCCUUGGCAAGGACAGGAGUUGCGGAAUGGAGGGCAUCCUGGCUGUUUCACCCGUGGACUUGAACUUGCCAUUGGACUGAGCUCUUUCUCAGAAGCUGCUACAAGAUGACACCUCAUGUCCCUGCCCUCUUCGUGUGCUUUUCCAAGUCUUCCUAUUCCACUCAGGGCUGUGGGGUGGUGGUUGCCCUACCUGUUUUUGCCAAAAAUAAAUUGUUUAAAACUUUUCUUAUUAAAAACGUUACAAAGUA